ACAGUGACAGGUCCUGGAGGUGGAGGGCUGGCAGGGGAUCAGGGUGUUCUCAUGGGGUUCAGGGACUAUUCAAUCCUCAGUGGGUGUCUCUAUGUUCUUGGGGGUGGGUGGAGGUGAAGGAUGGUUUCUGUACCAGCCAGGGAGAGAGAGUGAUUUAAAAAUCUCAUCCAGUUUGUUUCCGGAAUGUGCAAAUUGAAUUUGUCACCAGAUCCAUGGAGUAAAUCCUGAGUGGAAAACUGGAGCCCAGGAACGAGGUCAGAAGCUUGAUUAGGAUUGAAGUGGAGCCAGAGGUACCUUGCUUUAACCUUGCUGGUCAAGAUGACAGAUCAUUUACAUUAACAGAUUCUGCGGGCACUCUCCCGGUCGGAGCUGGAAGUGCUUUAGCCCCAGGUGACCUGGGCAACCAAGAGUGACGAUCCAGGAGAAAGAAGCUCCAACGGCCAAGACCCCAUCUGGAAGGAGCGGGGUUUCAAGCACACACCUUAAAGCCACCUGGGUCCC